AUGAAGCAGCAGAGGAAUGGUUCAGGGCAGAAGAAACCCUUCAGACAUCAAAAAAAGAGCUUCUUCCAGGAGCAGGAAAGAUCUCAAGGAACAGGAACCCUAGGGUGGAGAAAACGUCUGAUAAAUCCUUUAACUGAAGUCUUCACAUAUCAAUCAAAACAGCAGAAGGAAAUUUCUGCCCAUAUAGACGAGAGCAUGUUUAUUCUAAUAACUUCAUCCAAGGCCAGCUAUGGAAACUCUGUGACUUAGACAACUGGAGGAAAGUGAUUGUUACAAAAAUCCCCAGAAAAGUCUUCUCCACCACAAGUCAGAGAAACCCAGUUUAAUUUCCAUUUACUUAAUUUCAGGGGCCAUCCUCCAAGUUGCUGUCCUUUUACAGUUCUUUUCAGUCCACAGGAAGAAUGAAGGCGAAUGCAGAAAAUGUAACCAUACUGCAGAUGCCAGCAUGGUGGCCAGACAAUUUCUAGCAAUCGUUACCAGAACUGAGCUCAUCUUCAGUCAAACCGCAUCACCAGACAGCAUGUGCAUCUUGCUGUCUCCCCGCUACCCUGCCUGCAGAUAAAAUGUAUGACCUUAUAACACCUUUACCGUGGGCUCAGAUAACAUAUUUCAUCUUGCAGCAGGCUCAGUCUAAAUGAGUGUGCACACCUGUGACUGCAGUGGUUGCUUGCUGCAGCCACUCAGUCACUCUGUAGUCACUUGUCCAUAUCAAAUGGCUUAUCUACACAGCCAUUUUUUCUGGAGCAGAUGUUUUUCAUUGACUUUCUGCAUGAACACCUUUGUUAAGAUUGUCUAUAUAUUUAAUUUAAUUUUAAUUAAAAUUAGAUUAAAUUAAUAUAGAUUAGAUUAGAUUAGAUUAGAUUAGAUUAGAUUAAUUAGACUAGAUCAAUCUAAUUUUUAAAAGGCAGUUUUAUUCUAGCAUAAAAAUAUUGAAAUGGAGUUAGCAAACAUCAUCGUUCAAGCACUACUCAGAAAAUGACUGUGAUCACCGUUCACCUUUUAUUGCUUUAGCCACGCUGCUAAAUCUAGGCACGUACUAUCAGUAUUCCCAGUUCAUGUUAAUGAGGAAAAUUUAUUCUCCUCACACUAAACUCCUUUCAAGAAUUCUUUGUGUAGAAAAACUUAAACAUAGCACUCACACUCAUUAGGCCAAUAGGGCUUAUAACAUAAUGAGGGUUUCGCUUGGGAGUCUAGUUUGAAAAUGAAAGGUAUUGUUCAGAUGUUCUUGUGGAACUGUUUCUCCAGAAGA
rnacentral:lncRNA from 1 species